GAAUCACGGUACAGUGGGACAGAUUUUAGACCUCAAAUUCUGGGAUCUUGGCAUUAAGCCCAAAGGAGAUCUGGGAUUUCCCUACUGCUUUAAUAAUUUCUGCUGGCCCUCCUGGAGUCAUCUUAAACUGUUCCCAAGGUAAAUAAAUCAGCUGCCCUAGAGUGGAAGCAUCCCAUUCAUACAGACACAAACCGAGAGACAACAAACAAAG
rnacentral:lncRNA from 1 species